rnacentral:rRNA from 1 species
UACGGGGGGGGGCAAGCGUUGUUCGGAAUUAUUGGGCGUAAAGAGCUCGUAGGCGGUUUGUCGCGUCUGCCGUGAAAGUCCGGGGCUCAACUCCGGAUCUGCGGUGGGUACGGGCAGACUAGAGUGAUGUAGGGGAGACUGGAAUUCCUGGUGUAGCGGUGAAAUGCGCAGAUAUCAGGAGGAACACCGAUGGCGAAGGCAGGUCUCUGGGCAUUAACUGACGCUGAGGAGCGAAGCAUGGAGCGAACAGG